rnacentral:lncRNA from 1 species
CAGAAUUUGGCAGCCUCUCUGGAGAGUGAUGCAUUGUUUUGGAGAUAUCUGAAGAGGGAGAGCCUGCUGAACUCUCCCAUGUGGUGACAGAUCUGGUGCAGCAUGAUGGCAGCGUGUAGGGUGCAGUCCAUGGCCUUAGAAUCUCACAGCCUGCUCAAAGGCAAUCACUUCAUUUUACUGCUCUAUUAGUUUAAUAGGCAGGCUGAGGCUGGGGAAGGAAUGAGCUGGGGAAUAAGAGCAGUCCUUUACGCUCAAAGAGCUUUCCAGAAAGAGAAGUACUUCCCUAGAGAUACCUCUUCAGCUACAAAUGCUACCACGCAUUGCAAUGUGGCAAUUGAAAGUAACAUCUGAUAUUUAACUGCUUUCUGGGAAUAGGCAGAAAAUUAAUAGGAGAAAAAGAAAGAAAAGAAUAUGACAUGAAUAUUACCGGACAAUUUUUAACCAAAUUGAAAUUCCUGAUGUAUAGCAGUGUCCAAAGCAAGAAAAUAGCCCUUUAUUCAUUCUGCCUUCCACACUGCAUUGUAUUUUGUGUCAUCACUGCAGUAGACAUCCAACUGGCAACCCACUCUGUGCAAGGAAGAACUGUGCAAGCAAAGGAAUUGUGAGCUGAGCUAUGGGAUACAAGGAGGGGAAGACAUGGAAAAGUGAUAGGAGUAACACACAUAAGCUGUUUCUAGUAGUAUAUUCACAUAUUUACAAUUACUCCCUGCUGUCUCCCUUUACUUAGGGAGUUUGCUACUCUUUGCAUUCAUCUGGGCAGCAAACCUGACCUACUCAAAUCACUAGUAGAAGUCUGUGGACUGCUGUGAAGAGCAAUAUUCCAAUCCUGAUCAGAGAUCAGAAACAAGGUAUAUGCGUGAAUAUGCAGUAUUUUCAGAUGAGCUGAGCUCCAAUGCAGUUACCAACUGAACUCAAAUUAAUUGAGGUGUAGGAACCUGCUUGGCAGGCGUUUUGAAGUCAUCCUAAAAGAAAGGGAAAAAACCCAAACAUCAGGCAGUCUCCUCUAAAAGAAAGAGGAGAUGAAAGGAAGCAAGGAGAGUGAACACAUUUCUGCGUAAACGAGCAGCACAAAAAUGGGGUGAUGACCUAUAGCUCUUUAGUAAUGAGAACAUCCUUCAUGUGCUCUGUGUAUUUUCCCUCUUCUGGGCUGAAGUCAAGCACUGCCUCAGUAGGCUUUUAAUGCCCUGGCUGUCGUGUGGAACAGAGAGGCUGGGUAAUGUGCAAAGUGUUAGAUUUCUGAAGGGACUGCACUUCAGCUAAGGGCACAGGAAGAUGAAACAUGGGAUUACGAAACCGAGAUAUUGAUUUACAUGGCUAUUGAUUU